CCUACGGGGCGCAGCAGUGGGGAAUAUUGGGCAAUGGGCGCAAGCCUGACCCAGCAACGCCGCGUGAAGGAAGAAGGCUUUCGGGUUGUAAACCUCUGUCAGCAGGGAAGAACGGUCACUGUGCUAAUCAGCAGUGAAUUGACGGUACCUGCAAAGGAAGCACCGGCUAACUCCGUGCCAGCAGCCGCGGUAAUACGGAGGGUGCGAGCGUUAAUCGGAAUUACUGGGCGUAAAGCGCUCGUAGGCGGUAUGUCAAGUCAAGGGUGAAAUCCCCGCGCUCAACGUGGGAACUGCCUUUGAAACUG
rnacentral:rRNA from 1 species